AACAAAAGGAAACAAGCGACCCUUUUCCUUUUUUUUUUUUCUGAAGAACUGUCCUUAUAAAUAGUCGUCUCUCCGAAAAAUCAAAAUCAUUCAUUCUUCUUCUUCAAAAGUAAAAUCAUUCAUUCUCCUUAAUAAUCUUUCUUCUUUUCUUUUUUGAUAUGUGUCGAACAAAAUUUGCCAAUGUUUGAUCGCCAAUCUCGUGAAGCCGAUGAUCCAUGUAGAGCCACUCUCUGCAACUAAUUAAUCUGCCUUGUUCCUUGAGAAGAAGAUCGAUCUCAACUAUCGUUGCCCAUCUCGGAACCUUAUCUGUAAGAUUGAUCGCCAUUCUCUUUUGUGCAUUCGAUAUCCCGUGAGUCAAACCCUAAUCCCAUAUGGAUCAUUCACCGCCUGCUAAUGAUGCGAGGAAGAAGGCGGGAAAAGAGGGACAGUGAAAGCGAAGAGCAUGUCGCAGCUUUGGAGUUUCGAUGGCCUGACUGUUGAAGUUGAGUUCCUUGAUUUAACCUGCACAAAGAAAAUUAAAAUCGAUGAGGACAAGAAGUAGAAGAAGCAAAGGCUCGUGAUUGAAGGAUGUCGAAGAAGAGGAAGAGAGAACGCAGAGAACAAGGAAGGAAGUUGGACUUCAAGUGUUUUGGUCUUAAUAAAAAUAUUGGGCUACGUUUUGGUUAAGGCCCAAGGAAAACGAUGAAUCUGAGUCACCAAAUCCAGAAAUGAGAGAUCUUUACGGCUUAGAACCAACAGUUAAAGACUAUAUGUAUGGUUGAUAUCUUGAGCCGUGCUGGUCGUUUUGAAGAGGCAGAGAGAUUGGUGAAGAUUCUCCCGGUACAACCCAAUGCUAAUAUAUAUGGGGUGCAUUGUUAAAUACUUAAAAUGGUUGUGAGAAACAUGAAAAUCUCGAUCUCGCUGAUCGGAUAAGAUCCACGGUUUCUGAAUCUGAAGAACGUAGCAGAAUCUAUGUUCGGAUAAGAUCCACGGUUUCUGAAUCUGAAGAACGUAGCAGAAUCUAUGUUCUUGAUGGGCGGAUGUUAGACUAGUUAGAGAGUCCAUGAAGAGCAAAAGGGUAGAUAAACUUUUAAGCCAUAGUUCUGUUGAAACAAUGUUCUAAUCCAGGGUCCUGCUUGACCUCAUUAUAAACUUUGUUAUGAAUUAAACUUUGUUAUGAAUUGGGAGGUUGUGAUUUUCACCUCAUUAACAGUUCCAAGAGAACAAUAAUACUUUUGAAUUA